rnacentral:misc_RNA from 1 species
GUUCAUCUUAAUUCCCAUAAGAACGUCAUAAUUGUAGCGAAGAAGGCAAGCUUUUCUAGCUAAUUAAUUCAAAGGGGGGAAGAAGAAAAAGACUAAUGAGUUGAAUCUUUUGUACUAUUUUUCUUCUGGUGGGGCUUUCAUGUCUGUGAAAUCUAUGUCGUGAACUCAAGCAUUCACAUGUAGAAAUUUGUUAUAUAAUUGAGAUGAUCUAAGGCCCUGGUAGAACUGCAAAAUUUUCAGUUCCACACGCCUGUCAAUGUUUAGAGCACAAACUUCUAAGUACUAAAGGCAUAAGGAACAUUGCCUGAGUUGUUCAAUCACAUAAAGCACG